rnacentral:rRNA from 1 species
CCCUACGGGAGGCAGCAGUGGGGAAUCUUCCGCAAUGGGCGAAAGCCUGACGGAGCAACGCCGCGUGAUCGAAUGAAGGCCUUCGGGUUGUAAAGAUCUGUUGACAGGGACGAAUAAGCAAUGCGAAUAGUUUUGUGUAUGACGGUACCUGUUUAGAAAGCUCCGGCUAACUACGUGCCAGCAGCCGCGGUAAUACGUAGGUGGCAAGCGUUAUCCGGAUUUACUGGGUGUAAAGGGCGUGUAGGCGGGGAAGCAAGUCAGAUGUGAAAAACACGGGCUCAACCUGUGGCCUGCAUUUGAAACUG